UACGUAGGGUGCGAGCGUUGUCCGGAAUUAUUGGGCGUAAAGAGCUCGUAGGCGGUCUGUCGCGUCUGCUGUGAAAACUCAGGGCUUAACCCUGAGCUUGCAGUGGGUACGGGCAGACUAGAGUGCGGUAGGGGAGACUGGAAUUCCUGGUGUAGCGGUGAAAUGCGCAGAUAUCAGGAGGAACACCGGUGGCGAAGGCGGGUCUCUGGGCCGUAACUGACGCUGGAGGAGCGGAAAGCAUGGGGAGCGAACAG
rnacentral:rRNA from 1 species